UAGGGAAUCUUCGGCAAUGGGCGAAANCCUGACCGAGCAACGCCGCGUGAGUGAAGAAGGUUUUCGGAUCGUAAAACUCUGUUGUUAGAGAAGAACAAGGACGUUAGUAACUGAACGUCCCCUGACGGUAUCUAACCAGAAAGCCACGGCUAACUACGUGCCAGCAGCCGCGGUAAUACGUAGGUGGCAAGCGUUGUCCGGAUUUAUUGGGCGUAAAGCGAGCGCAGGCGGUUUCUUAAGUCUGAUGUGAAAGCCCCCGGCUCAACCGGGGAGGGUCAUUGGAAACUGGGAGACUUGAGUGCAGAAGAGGAGAGUGGAAUUCCAUGUGUAGCGGUGAAAUGCGUAGAUAUAUGGAGGAACACCAGUGGCGAAGGCGGCUUUCUGGUCUGUAACUGACGCUGAUGCUCGAAAGCGUGGGGAUCAAACAGGAUUAGAUACCCUGGUAGUCCACGCCGUAAACGAUGAGUGCUAAGUGUUAGAGGGUUUCCGCCCUUCAGUGCUGCAGCAAACGCAUUAAGCACUCCGCCUGGGGAGUACGACCGCAAGGUUG
rnacentral:rRNA from 1 species